rnacentral:rRNA from 1 species
UAGGGAAUCUUCGGCAAUGGGGGGAACCCUGACCGAGCAACGCCGCGUGAGUGAAGAAGGUUUUCGGAUCGUAAAGCUCUGUUGUUAAGGAAGAACGAGUGUGAGAAUGGAAAGUUCAUACUGUGACGGUACUUAACCAGAAAGGGACAGCUAACUACGUGCCAGCAGCCGCGGUAAUACGUAGGUCCCGAGCGUUGUCCGGAUUUAUUGGGCGUAAAGCGAGCGCAGGCGGUUAGAAAAGUCUGAAGUGAAAGGCAGUGGCUCAACCAUUGUAGGCUUUGGAAACUGUUUAACUUGAGUGCAGAAGGGGAGAGUGGAAUUCCAUGUGUAGCGGUGAAAUGCGUAGAUAUAUGGAGGAACACCGGUGGCGAAAGCGGCUCUCUGGUCUGUAACUGACGCUGAGGCUCGAAAGCGUGGGGAGCGAACAGGAUUAGAUACCCUGGUAGUCCACGCCGUAAACGAUGAGUGCUAGGUGUUAGGUCCUUUCCGGGACUUAGUGCCGCAGCUAACGCAUUAAGCACUCCGCCUGGGGAGUACGACCGCAAGGUUG